UACAGAGGUCCCAAGCGUUGUUCGGAUUCACUGGGCGUAAAGGGUGCGUAGGUGGCGAGGUAAGUCGGAUGUGAAAGCUCGGAGCUCAACUCCGAAAUGGCAUUGGAAACUACCUUGCUAGAGGGUCGGAGGGGGGACUGGAAUUCUUGGUGUAGCAGUGAAAUGCGUAGAUAUCGUAAGGAAGACCAGUGGCGAAGGCGAAUCUCUGGACAGUUACUGACACUGAGGCACGAAGGCCAGGGGAGCAAACGGG
rnacentral:rRNA from 1 species